CGGAAUCAUUGGGCGGAAAGCGCGUGUAGGCGGUCCGGUAAGUCCGCUGGGAAAGUCGGGGGCUCAACCCUCGAAAGCCGGUGGAAACUGUCGGGCUAGAGUGCGGAAGAGGCGAGUGGAAUUCCUGGUGUAGCGGUGAAAUGCGCAGAUAUCAGGAGGAACACCGGUGGCGAAGGCGGGUCUCUGGGCCGAAACUGACGCUGAGGAGCGAAAGCGUGGGGAGCAAACAGG
rnacentral:rRNA from 1 species